rnacentral:rRNA from 1 species
AUGUUAAUCUCCGUUUGGAGCGGUUUGGAGUCACACUGCUCCCCAAGAAGCCACCAGGACCACCAUAAUCUCCUCACGCCCUCACACAAUGCAAGAUGUCAUGAUUCCACUAAGGGACCCUUGAGGGCGGUCAUCGAACCCGUACAAAUGGCAACCCUUGGGGGCGGUCACCGAACUCAUACACUUUGGCAACCCUUGGGGGCGGUCACCGGUACCCGUCAAAUUGCUCGGGGCGAUCUCCACAACCUAAUUGGAGACCCCGACGCUUCCCCAGAGCUUUACACCACAAUGAUUGAGCUCCGAACACCACCAACCGUCUAG